AGUGAACGCUGGCGGUAGGCCUAACACAUGCAAGUCGAACGGCAGCACCGUAUGAGCUUGCUCUUACGGGUGGCGAGUGGCGGACGGGCGAGGAAUACAUCGGCAUCUACUUUUUCGUGGGUGAUAACGUAGGGAAACUUACGCUAAUACCGCAUACGCCCUACGGGUGAAAGCAGUGGAUCUCCGGACCUUGCGCGAUUGACUGAGCCGAUGUCGGAUUAGCUAGUUGGCGGGGUAAAGGCCCACCAAGGCGACGAUCCGUAGCUGGUCUGAGAGGAUGUUCAGCCACACUGGAACUGAGACACGGUCCAGACUCCUACGGGAGGCAGCAGUGGGGAAUAUUGGACAAUGGGCGCAAGCCUGAUCCAGCCAUACCGCGUGGGUGAAGAAGACCUUCGGGUUGUAAAGCCCUUUUGUUGGGAAAGAAAAGCAGCAGGUUAAUACCCAGCUGUUCUGACGGUACCGAAAGAAUAAGCACCGGCUAACUUCGUG
rnacentral:rRNA from 1 species